rnacentral:rRNA from 1 species
CCUACGGGAGGCAGCAGUGAGGAAUAUUGGACAAUGGGCGCAAGCCUGAUCCAGCCAUGCCGCGUGCAGGAAGAAGCAUCUAUGGUGUGUAAACUGCUUUUGUACAGGAAGAAACACUCCCUCGUGAGGGAGCUUGACGGUACUGUAAGAAUAGGGACCGGCUAACUCCGUGCCAGCAGCCGCGGUAAUACGGAGGGUCCGAGCGUUAUCCGGAAUCAUUGGGUUUAAAGGGUCCGUAGGCGGUUUAAUAAGUCAGUGGUGAAAUCUGGUCGCUCAACGAUCAAACGGCCAUUGAUACUGUUAGACUUGAAUUAUAAGGAAGUAACUAGAAUAUGUAGUGUAGCGGUGAAAUGCUUAGAUAUUACAUGGAAUACCAAUUGCGAAGGCAGGUUACUACUUAUGGAUUGACGCUGAUGGACGAAAGCGUGGGGAGCGAACAGGAUUAGAUACCCUGGUAGUCCACGCCGUAAACGAUGGAUACUAGCUGUUCGGAGCAAUCUGAGUGNGUAGACGAAGUAGAGUAAGUAAGUACCACCGUCGGGAGGUAACGGUUCGUCGAAGAAGUAGUUAAACGUUAACGAAAGGAAAGUUAGUUACGGCGUUGAGACGNGCGACGGACGACGACGAGGGAGGAGG